UACGGAGGGUGCGAGCGUUGUCCGGAAUUAUUGGGCGUAAAGAGCUCGUAGGCGGUUUGUCGCGUCGGCUGUGAAAACCUGGGGCUUAACUCCGGGCCUGCAGCCGAUACGGGCAGACUAGAGUUCGGCAGGGGAGACUGGAAUUCCUGGUGUAGCGGUGAAAUGCGCAGAUAUCAGGAGGAACACCGGUGGCGAAGACGGGUCUCUGGGCCGAUACUGACGCUGAGGAGCGAAAGCGUGGGGAGCAAACAGG
rnacentral:rRNA from 1 species